UACGGGGGGGGCAAGCGUUGUUCGGAAUUACUGGGCGUAAAGGGCUCGUAGGCGGCCAACUAAGUCAGACGUGAAAUCCCUCGGCUUAACCGGGGAACUGCAUCUGAUACUGGAUGGCUUGAGUUCGGGAGAGGGAUGCGGAAUUCCAGGUGUAGCGGUGAAAUGCGUAGAUAUCUGGAGGAACACCGGUGGCGAAGGCGGCUUCCUGGACCGACACUGACGCUGAGGAGCGAAAGCCAGGGGAGCAAACGGG
rnacentral:rRNA from 1 species